GUUGCCCAAAAAUGGCAUGAUACUGCUGUUGAAUUAACUAAAUGUGGUUGUAGAGAAACCACCAGAAAAGGUGUACCAUAUUAUCAAUGUUUUGGACCUCUAGGGUCCAAGAAUGGGCAAGAAGGAGGGUCGUCCACCAGACUUAAGGGAACCCCUAGUUGCCCCCAUAGACACCCCAGUGGGGCCAUUAGCUCCACAAUUUACUACUCCCAUGAUACCCAAAGUUGAGAGUGUAUACCAUGAGAAGAGACAGCCGAGCUCAGGUAUCCAAUACUGGGAAGAAUAUAAGCCCUGGACACCCAGUGAAAAACUGGCAAUAAUACAGAAGCUGCCGGAUGUUGAAAAGGCC